AAAUUUUUAUUGUAUUAGCGUACAUAUAGUACAUUAUAAUUAGAUUAUAAUGUCUCUAAAAAACAUAGAAAAACAUUAGUAUAAAGUCAGUUAUGACUUUGGUUGGUGCUUUUCCAUUCAAUUUGGUAGAACCGGGAAUCGUGCACACAAAACUUGGAAGUUUACCAAUCUUACCAUGUUCACUUGAAAGUUUACACUGUUUCUAUCUAUAGGUGAUCUUGUUAAUGCGUGAAGUUGUUUGCUUUAUUGAAACUUGUGGACUGCAUGAAUUUACUCGUGAGUUUAACAACUGAACUUUAAAUCUAGUGAUGAGUUUGUGAUUUCAUGAAAAAUAAAAUUUUGGGUUAAACUUCCAAUUUCUUGUUUCUUUUAUGUCCUCUAUAGUAAUUAAAAAUUUGAUACUGAAUUACUUCUAAUUGAUUCUAUGGAAUAAAUUCCUGUUUAUUUGUUGGAAGUUUGCACAACCUUUUCAUGGACUUCUGUGUACAGAGGGAAUGUACCUAAUGGAAG
rnacentral:misc_RNA from 1 species